UACGUAGGGUGCAAGCGUUGUCCGGAAUUAUUGGGCGUAAAGAGCUCGUAGGCGGUUUGUUGCGUCGGCUGUGAAAUCCCGAGGCUCAACCUCGGGUCUGCAGUCGAUACGAGCAAACUAGAGUGUUGCAGGGGAGACUGGAAUUCCUGGUGUAGCGGUGAAAUGCGCAGAUAUCAGGAGGAACACCGGUGGCGAAGGCGG
rnacentral:rRNA from 1 species